UUUUAUAGUUUUCGUAUUAUUUUUAGCAGAAAUAAUUUUCAGUAUUUGAAGUUGAAGAUAUAUUUUUAAUGUUACCUAAAAAAUGUGUCCUUUUCUAAAGUAAGAAGUUUUGAAAAUCGUCAACCAAACAAAUUUUAUGAAAAUUGUUCUGCAAAACUGAUUUUGAAAACCGACCCAAACAGAUCGCGUGCGGAUUCCUAUUUUCAGACACA
rnacentral:lncRNA from 1 species